rnacentral:rRNA from 1 species
AGAGUUUGAUCAUGGCUCAGGAUGAACGCUAGCUACAGGCUUAACACAUGCAAGUCGAGGGGAAACGACAUCGAAGGCUUGCUUUUGAUGGGCGUCGACCGGCGCACGGGUGAGUAACGCGUAUCCAACCUGCCCACCACUUGGGGAUAACCUUGCGAAAGUAAGACUAAUACCCAAUGACGUCUCUAGAAGACAUCUGAAAGAGAUUAAAGAUUUAUCGGUGAUGGAUGGGGAUGCGUCUGAUUAGCUUGUUGGCGGGGUAACGGCCCACCAAGGCUACGAUCAGUAGGGGUUCUGAGAGGAAGGUCCCCCANAUUGGAACUGAGACACGGUCCAAACUCCUACGGGAGGCA